AUUGAACGCUGGCGGCAUGCUUUACACAUGCAAGUCGAACGGCAGCGCGGGCUUCGGCCUGGCGGCGAGUGGCGAACGGGUGAGUAAUGCAUCGGAACGUGCCCAGUAGUGGGGGAUAGCCCGGCGAAAGCCGGAUUAAUACUGCAUACGACCUGAGGGUGAAAGCGGGGGACCGAAAGGCCUCGCGCUAUUGGAGGGGCCGACGUCGGAUUGGCUAGUUGGUGGGGUAAAGGGUUACCAAGGCGACGAUCCGUAGCUGGUCUGAGAGGACGACCGGCCACACUGGGACUGAGACACGGCCCAGACUCCUACGGGAGGCAGCAGUGGGGAAUUUUGGACAAUGGGGGCAACCCUGAUCCAGCCAUGCCGCGUGCGAGAAGAAGGCCUUCGGGUUGUAAACCGCUUUUGUUCGGGAAGAAAUCCUCUGGGCUAAUACCCCGGGGGGAUGACGGUACCGGAAGAAUAAGCACCGGCUAACUACGUG
rnacentral:rRNA from 1 species